AACGAACGCUGGCGGCAGGCCUAACACAUGCAAGUCGAACGCACCUUCGGGUGAGUGGCAGACGGGUGAGUAACACGUGGGAACCUUCCCUUCGGUACGGAAUAGCUCCGGGAAACUGGAAUUAAUGCCGUAUACGCCCUUUGGGGGAAAGAUUUAUCGCCGAAGGAUGGGCCCGCGUCGGAUUAGCUAGUUGGUGAGGUAACGGCUCACCAAGGCAACGAUCCGUAGCUGGUCUUAGAGGAUGAUCAGCCACACUGGGACUGAGACACGGCCCAG
rnacentral:rRNA from 1 species